GGCCGACUAGCUCAGCUGGUUAGAGCGUCGUGCUAAUAUCUUCAGGUCUCCUAUAGUUAUACGCGAAGGUCUUGGGUUCGAUCCCCACGUUGGCCA